GAACCAGACUCCUACGGGAGGCAGCAGUAGGGAAUAUUGCUCAAUGGGGGAAACCCUGAUGCAGCGACGCCGCGUGGGUGAAGAAGCGCCUCGGCGCGUAAAGCCCUGUCAGCAGGGAAGAAAAUGACGGUACCUGAAGAGGAAGCCCCGGCUAACUACGUGCCAGCAGCCGCGGUAAUACGUAUGGAGCAAGCGUUAUCCGGAUUUACUGGGCGUAAAGGGAGCGUAGGCGGCCUGCUAAGUCUGAUGUGAAAUACCGGGGCUCAACCCCGGGGCUGCAUUGGAAACUGGCAGGCUGGAGUGCCGGAGAGGCAGGCGGAAUUCCUAGUGUAGCGGUGAAAUGCGUAGAUAUUAGGAGGAACACCAGUGGCGAAGGCGGCCUGCUGGACGGUGACUGACGCUGAGGCUCGAAAGCGUGGGGAGCAAACGGGAUUAGAUACCCGGGUAAC
rnacentral:rRNA from 1 species